rnacentral:rRNA from 1 species
CCUACGGUGGGCAGCAGUGAGGAAUAUUGGUCAAUGGCCGCGAGGCUGAACCAGCCAAUUCGCGUGAGGGCUGAAUGCCCUAUGGAUUGUAAACUUCUUUUGUCAAGGAGUAAAGUCACCCACGUUUGGGUUUUGGUGAGUACUUUAUGAAAAAGCAUCGGCUAACUCCGUGCCAGCAGCCGCGGUAAUACGGAGGAUGCGAGCGUUAUCCGGAUUUAUUGGGUUUAAAGGGUGCGUAGAUGGGUUAUCAAGUCAGCGGUAAAAUCGUGGGGCUCAACUCCAUCCAGCCGUUGAUACUGAUGAUCGUGAGUGGGCGAGAGGUAUGCGGAAUGCGUGGUGUAGCGGUGAAAUGCAUAGAUAUCACGCAGAACUCCGAUUGCGAAGGCAGCAUACCGGCGCCCGACUGACGCUGAAGCACGAAAGCGUGGGUAUCGAACAGGAUUAGAUACCCGAGUAGUC